rnacentral:rRNA from 1 species
GAUGAACGCUAGCGGCAGGCUUAAUACAUGCAAGUCAAGGGGGUAGCAAUACAACCGGCGCACGGGUGAGUAACGCGUACACAACAUACCAUAUACUGGAGUAUAGCUUUGGGAAACUGAAGGUAAUCCUCCAUAACAUUGCGAGAGGGCAUCUGAUUGCAAUUAAAGUUUCGGCGGUAUAUGAUUGGUGUGCGUUUGAUUAGCUAGUUGGUAGGGUAACGGCCUACCAAGGCGACGAUCAAUAGCUGGCGUGAGAGCGCGACCAGCCACACUGGAACUGAGACACGGUCCAGACUCCUACGGGAGGCAGCAGUAGGGAAUAUUGGACAAUGGAGGAAACUCUGAUCCAGCCAUGCCGCGUGAUAGAUGAAGGCCCUCUGGGUUGUAAAUAUCUUUUAUCUGGGAAGAAACACUCCUAUUCUUAGGAACUUGACGGUACCAGAGGAAUAAGCA